rnacentral:miRNA from 1 species
UUGGCUGAGUGAGCAUCACGG